rnacentral:rRNA from 1 species
CAGACUCUACCGGGAGAGGCAGCAGUGGGGAAUAUGCACAAUGGGCGCAAGCUGAUGCAGCAACGCGCGUGAGUGAUGAAGGCUUCGGGUCGUAAAACUCUGUCCCUAGGGAAGAAUAAAUGACGGUACCCUAGGAGGGAAGCCCCGGGCUAACUACGUGCCAGCAGCCGCGGUAAUACGUAGGGGGCAAGCGUUAUCCGGGAAUUAUUGGGCGUAAAGAGUACGUAGGUGGUUUUACAAGCCUUGGGUUAAAGGCUAUGGCUCAACCAUAGUAAGCUAAGGAACUGUAAGACUUGAGUGCAGGAGAGGUAAGUGGAAUUCCUAGUGUAGCGGUGAAAUGCGUAGAUAUUAGGAGGAACACCAGUGGCGAAGGCGACUUACUGGACUGUUACUGACACUGAGGUACGAAAGCGUGGGGAGCAAACAGGAUUAGAUACCCUGGUAGUCCACGCCGUAAACGAUGAGCACUAGGUGUCGGGGUCGCGAGGCCUCGGUGCCGCAGCUAACGCAUUAAGUGCUCUGCCUGGGGAGUACGCACGCAAGUGUAAAACUCAAAGGAAUUGACGGGGACCCGCACAAGCAGCGGAGCAUGUGGUUUAAUUCGAAGCAACGCGAAGAACCUUACCAAGACUUGACAUCCUUCUGACCCAUUCUUAAUCGAAUGCUCUCUUCGGAGCAGAAGUGACAGGUGGUGCAUGGUUGUCGUCAGCUCGUGUCGUGAGAUGUUGGGUUAAGUCCCGCAACGAGCGCAACCCUUAUCUUUAGUUGCCAGCAGUUCGGCUGGGCACUCUAGAGAGACUGCCGGGGAUAACUCGGAGGAAGGUGGGGAUGACGUCAAAUCAUCAUGCCCCUUAUGUCUUGGGCUACACACGUGCUACAAUGGCUGGUACAAAGAGCAGCGAUAGGGUGACCUGGAGCAAAUCUAUAAAGCCAGUCUCAGUUCGGAUUGUAGGCUGCAACUCGCCUACAUGAAGUUGGAGUUGCUAGUAAUCGUGGAUCAGAAUGCCACGGUGAAUGCGUUCCCGGGUCUUGUACACACCGCCCGUCACACCAUGGAAGUUGGGGGCGCCCGAAGUCGGUCAGAUAAUAGACUGCCGA